UUUAUAACAAAAAUAUUAUUUUCAGAUAUCAACACAAUAUAUAUAUGUAUAUUAAUUAUCUUAUUUUUUAAUAUGCUUUUAAAAAUUAUAUAUUUUUUUUUGAUAAUUUAUUUAAUAUUUAUAUAAAAUAUAAAUUUAAUCUUAUUAAAAUAAAAUUCAUUUUAAUUUAUACAUAAAUUUGUUUAAGGGUAUUAUUUAAAUUAAUAAAUUUGAUUAACUUCACAUAAAUUUUACCACAAGAAGAUUCUUCGGGUGAAGAUACCGAGAAGUCAGAAGCCUCUGGGGAAGAUAAUGCUACCAAGUCUAGUUGUUCUAAUAGUGAAAAUCUGCGGAAGAUAAUGCUAUCGAGUGAUUAACUUAACAAUUGUUUUUAUAUGGAUGUAGUUUGUUUUAAAUACUCUAUCAAAAAGUUAUUUUCAGAUUGUCUCAUUUUAAUUAUUAUAAUAUAUUAUCAUUGUGUUUUUUUUUUGUUUAACAUAAAUACAUAUUAUCAUUGUGUUUUUUUUUUGUUUAACAUAAAUACAUUUUCAUUGUCUUAUGUGGUUGACCAAUUUCUUCACAUAUAAUUUGAAAUAUGAGUAAUGUAUAUUUGGUUUAAAUGUUUUCAUUUGACUUAUUUUGUAGUAUUGUUUCUCUUCAUGUGAUUUAUAAUUUAUUUAAUAUUUGAUUGGAUACAAUAACUUUAUAUUUUCACUUUAUAUCAUUCAUUUCUUUACAAUUUUUCAGAGUUUUCUUGAUAUUCACCUAUAAUUAUUUUUAAUGCUUGUAUUUGAGCUAUUUUAAAUUCUUAAUUUUAAUUAAUUAUUACUUUUUCAUUGUGGUUUCUUUUAAUUUCUUUUAAAUUUCUCUUUGAUUGAGUUGAUUUCAGAUAAGAGAAAUAAUCAAUGAGAUACACUACUUUUAGCCAAAUUUAUAAGUCGUCCAUUCUAAUAUUCAAUCUACAUAAUCAUUAAGGAAAACAUCAAUAUUCUAUAUGCCAUCUUACACAUCUGCCUACUAAUAAUUAAUACCAUGGUUAGCCAUUAGAUGCAAAUUAUCUAAUGAUUUUUUUAACACAGCAAACAGGUAAUGAUUAUCACUUAAUAUUAGUACUUUGUAAGAGAAAUAAUUUAUACUAUACUAGUAAUUUGUAAAAUAAAUAAUUUAUAUUAUGUUGUACGAUUAGUAAAAUAUAAUAUGCUUCACACUGCAGGAUUAGCAAGUUGUAGUAACAGCAAUUAUAUUUUUUAUAUAUAAUAAAAGUAAUAACCAAAUCAUUCAUCACUUCCUUAAGAUGAGAUUAGAUCCUCGGAAUCAAACACAACCCCCAAAAAAAACAUCUGUGUUUCCAAAUCUCCACUCUGUUCUUCAAGUUUUAUUCUCAUAUUCUCUAAUGGAGCUAUGCGGUUCAGGGAUCAACAAGGAACAUCAAAUGUGUUCGAAGACUUUUGGCUAUGAACGGAUCAAAGAUCUUUCUGAAAAUGUCUUCAGGUUGAAGAAGAUCUCAAGAUGGAGAUUGAUGUGGAGAAAGAUAAUGAUGGGGAUGAAGCACAAAAAGAAAGAUCAGGUUCUUGAUCAUUGUUUUCGAUAUGAUCCUUUCACUUAUUCGCAAAACUUUGAGAAUGAUGGAACCAUCGCAUAUCACGAAGAUCCUGAUGUUUCUUCUAAGUCUUUUUCAGCUCGAUUUGUUUCUUCUUCUAAAGUUUUCAGUGUAAACUAUGUUUGAGUUUCUUCAUGGUAAUCAAUUUUGGUUUUCAAGUGUUUAUAUAUUUUUAACAUCAUUUUGCGAAUGCAAGCAACAAAUCAUAGCUAAUCAUGUGACUCAUUAGUGGCUAAUGCCACAAGAAAAGGCGAUGAUUACGUGUAGUCACGUGCUGCUAAGUCACUGCCAAGUUACAAAGAUCUUGUGUUGCUGUACAUGAUCCACAUUGCCAAAGAGAUUCAAGUAUUGAUGAAUGCAUCAUACACAAAGCCUUUCUCUUUCAUCUCUCUCAUCAUCUUGCAGCCUCCUCAAACAUUCCAACGGAGCAGAUAUGUAUGUACACCAUGGCGAAUAAAUCGAUAGAGUCGCAGUCGGAGUUGAAGAAACGCACGUGAGCGAGCAUAACGAGUUUUCUUAAAAAGAAUGAGAGGAUAAACAAUACGUGGCUACCUUUCAUUGGUUAGUAUCUAAGCAAAGACCGAACAAUUCGAAAAAAAUUACAGAAACUGCCACUGUCCGAAAGAAAAAUGUUCGAUUCCGGAAUUCCUUUCGUGUUUUUUUUUUGAGAACUGUGAAUUUAGAUUACUUGAGAAAUCCAAGGAUGUGGUCUGCACAAGUCACUAGACAACACAAAGGUCUCUCUUGAAUUGUCUUGGGAUAUUUAGUGCUGGUGUUCUUGGUGCACUCUAUGCGCUGGCUCGGGAAGAUACCAAAGCCUGCUGAGGAAACCAUCGUCUCUGAAAGAGGAGGAGAUUCAGCAGAUGAAGGAAAAGCUUGAUCAUGUGCUAAAGAAUGUAAAUGAGAGUAAAGACAAAGUUGCUGAACUUACUGAGAAGAACAGAAGACUCGAAGAGGAUGCUGGAUAUAGUACUCACUAGUGUACUAAACUUGAAAGAUGAACUUGAAGGAACGAAGAGAACAACAGUACAGGUGUCGAGAGAUAGUGUCUCUGACCUGGAAAAGCUGCUUGGUGAGUCGAGAGCUUAGUGUUCAAAGUUUGAACCAGAGGUUUCUGUGAUUCGGGGAGAGUUUGAUGAAGCUAAGGAAAGAUAUGAAGAGAAGCUAGCUGAAGAAAGACGAAACAGUGAGGUUUUGGCUAAAGAACUUGCAGUGGAGAAAGAUCUUUUAAAGAAAGCUAGAGACGAGCUUGAGGUCGAAGAAGCAGUUAAGUCAUUAGAUGAGAUGAACAAAAACACAUCGACAUUGACAAAAGAGCUUGAGAAGAUGAAUACUCAUGUUUCCAGUUUGGAGGACGAGAAAGAAGUGCUACAAAGAACACUGGAAGAGGCAAAUAAAGCAUCAAAAGAAGCCAAGGAAAACAUGGAAGGCGCAUAUAGCUUCUUGAUGAGUCUGAGAAAAGAGAGGGGAGUGAUAGAAAAGAAAGUGAAGAAGCUGGAGGAGGACUUGGGAUCUGCAAAGGGAGAGAUACUGCGCAUGAGGAGCCAAUCGAAGAGUGUAAAAGCUGUGAAUAGUACAGAAGAUGAAGAAAAGAGUGAUGAUAAGGUUACUGCAAAGAAAGUUGUCAGGAGGAGAAAGAGCAGUACUAAUUCUUGAGGAGACAAAGGUUAUAAUCACCAGUUCUUGCUCCAGUUAUUAUUUAAAUCUGUGUAAAUUUUGACUAGAGGCAAGUGGCUCCAAUGUUUCAUCAAUGAUGAUAGAAGAUCAGUUCUUUGUAUCAGAAUAUUCAUAGUCUUAAAUUAUGAUUUUUAUAUAGAUAUGUUAAA